GAUGAACGCUGGCUACAGGCUUAACACAUGCAAGUCGAGGGGAAAAGACGGGGAAGCUUGCUUCCCCGGGCGUCGACCGGCGCACGGGUGAGUAACGCGUAUCCAACCUGCCUCUGACUGAGGGAUAACCCGUCGAAAGUCGGCCUAAUACCCCAUGGCAUCGUCUGCGGGCAUCCAACGACGAUUAAAGAUUUCAUCGGUCAGGGAUGGGGAUGCGUCUGAUUAGCUUGUUGGCGGGGUAACAGCCCACCAAAGCUACGAUCAUUAGGGGUUCUGAGAGGAAGGUCCCCCACAUUGGAACCACGACACGGACCAAACUCCUACGGGAGGGAGCAGUAAGGAAGAUUGUGCAAGGGGCGGGAGCCUGAACCAGCCAAGUGGCUUGCAGGAUGACUGCCCUAUGGGUGGUAAACUGCUUUUAUGCGGGGAUAAAGUGAGGGACGCGUCCUUCAUUGAAGGUACCGAAUGAAUAAGGACCGGCUAAUUCCGUG
rnacentral:rRNA from 1 species